CCUCCAGCUUGACCAUCACGCGCAGCUACCGCAGUGGAGGCACCAGCCUCGGGGAGAGCCUCCUGCCCCGCACCUACAUCCUGGGCAGCUCCACCCCACGCCAGCAGGGUCCUUCAAACUGCAGCAUCAUGUAAUCGUCCGACGUUCCCGACAUGCACUCAAAUCUGCUUUAUGGAGCUCUCUGUCCUUUACAUGCUCAGAAAAAGAGGAAACCAUUUUUAAAAGAAGUUAUUUUCUAUGCAAGAAUUUAUACUUUAUUACAUAUAUCUAUAUCUAUAUAUCUCUAUAUAAAUAUGCUAAAGAUGCUUCAGGAUUUUUAAGGGGGUGGGGGGGGGUCUUUUUUCUAUCUCAAAGGUUUAAAAGGAAGUUUAAAACCUGCCAAAGAGGUGAAUCUAUUACUGCCAAAAAGGAAAAAAGUCCUAGAAUUGUCAUAUGUUUCUUCUAGUAAGGGGGAGCCUGCAAAAGGACAGGAUCCGUCUGUGUGUGUGCUUGAAUACCAAAGUUUUCUUUGAAAAACGAAUCAAAAAUCACAAAGUUUUUCUCCUCCUUCUGGGCCACCGUUUGUCAACUUCACCAACUUCAUUAAGGGGGGGGGGGACUUUAACUCCCAAGAAUUCCCCAGCCAGUCCCCCCCCUGUCCAUCUUAAAGUUGGUGGGGUUGUGAAACUCUCUUCCAGGGAAAUCUCUUUAAAUCUGUUGCACUUAACCUUCUCCCUGUGGGGGGGGAGGGUGUUGACCACUAACUAACCAUGGUUAACUUCUGCCUUGCUUCCCAGCGAUUCCUGCGCUUGAGCAAAAGAGUCCAACUCUUUUGAAGAAUCUACAAGCCAAGAGUUGACCUUCGUUUACAUCUUGAAAAUGGGAGGGAGACCUUCAGACGGAACCCGUUUUGGGUUGCAAUGAUACUUGAGGGAUGCCCCCUGUUGAACCCAGGGUCCUCAGCCCUGGCAGGUUUAAGGCGGAGGAACUUCAACUCCCAGAAUUCCCCAGCCAGUAUGGGGGACUCCGGGGAGUCGAGUUUUAAAAUUGCCACGUUUGAGAAACGUGAAUUUAACCUCGUGUCCUCAGUCCCCUCCGGCCCAAAUCAGGUUGUUUAAUACCUGCAUUAAAACACUUUAGGAGGUGGACAUUCAGGGAUUCUC